rnacentral:rRNA from 1 species
GUAGGGUGGCAAGCGUUGUCCGGAAUUAUUGGGCGUAAAGCGCGCGCAGGCGGUCCUUUAAGUCUGAUGUGAAAGCCCACGGCUCAACCGUGGAGGGUCAUUGGAAACUGGGGGACUUGAGUACAGAAGAGGAAAGCGGAAUUCCAAGUGUAGCGGUGAAAUGCGUAGAGAUUUGGAGGAACACCAGUGGCGAAGGCGGCUUUCUGGUCUGUAACCGACGCUGAGGCGCGAAAGCGUGGGGAGCAAACAGGAUUAGAUACCCUGGUAGUCCACGCCGUAAACGAUGAGUGCUAAGUGUUAGGGGGUUUCCGCCCCUUAGUGCUGCAGCUAACGCAUUAAGCACUCCGCCUGGGGAGUACGGCCGCAAGGCUG